GUGCCCACUUCAGCAGCACAUAUACCAGAAUUGGAACCCUACAGAGAAGAUUAACGUGGUCCCUGAGCAAGAAUGACAUGCAAAUUCGUGACGUGUUCCAUAUUUGU